GGACUACCGGGGUAUCUAAUCCUGUUUGCUACCCACGCUUUCGCGGCUCAGCGUCAGUUACCGUCCAGAUGGCCGCCUUCGCCACCGGUGUUCCGCCCCAUAUCUACGAAUUUCACCUCUACUUGGGGCAUUCCGCCAUCCUCUCCGGCACUCAAGCUCGAGAGUUUCGGGCGCACUUCCUCAGUUGAGCUGAGGGCUUUCACACCCGACUUUUCAAGCCGCCUACCCGCGCUUUACGCCCAAUAAUUCCGAACAACGCUUGCACCCUCUGUAUUACCGCGGCUGCUGGCAC
rnacentral:rRNA from 1 species